GUGGAGCACUGGCUGUUGUCAGACAAAAAAAACUCACAGGAUUGUUACAAUUAAUGGCAAAAUGAAUGUUUUUCAUUGAUUGAAUGUAAUACAAUUUUUAGCUGCUGAAAAUACUAGUGUUCCAAUAAUAUUGUUCACCACUGUGUGUCUGUCUGUCUGUCAAUCCGUCCAUCUAUCUAUACAUCUGUCUGUCUGUCCAUCCAUUUGCUUAUCUAUAUGUAUGUCUGUCUGUGCAUCCGUCCAUCCGUCCGUCUACCUAUACGUCUGUCUGUCUGUCCAUCCGUUCGUCCAUACACCGGUCUGUCUGUCUGUCUGACCAAACGGUUAAAAUAAAACACUGAUGUGUGAUAUUGUAUUUUCAGUAUUCAACCCCAAAGUUCAUUGCUCCCUGUGUGGAAAAGAGUCUCCUGUUGGAGGUGUGGGUCUGAACACAUGGAUUCAGUGCAGCAACUGUGAAAGAUGGUACCACUCUGUCUGUGUCAACAUGACGAAAAAGGAGAUACACAAAUAUGCCAAAACCCACUGAUGUGAUGCUAACCGUGCCAGUAUACCAGCAACAGCAGUAUGGCGUCUCCAGGUUCCUGAAGAUCAAGCCACUGGCUUUGGGGAUUUUGGAACUAUUGCUAGCCUUAUUGGGACUCUGUUUGACAAUCUGGAAUGUUCAUUUUUCUCUUCUCUGGUCACCAAUCAGCGUAAGUCGAUCAUUUUAAUAUCAAAACAAUAUUAUACAAUGAACAAAUACUGAAUUCUGUUCCAUUUCUGUUCUGCAGUUCAUUUUAACUGGAGUAUUAACAGUCUCGGCAGCAAGCACGUGUAAACCAUGUCUGGUUAGUGUCAGUUUAAAAAAAACUUGUAAUAUUUUUGCUUAAGGGGAACUUUAUGGGUUUUAUUUUAAAACAGAUCUUUUGUACUAUAGGUCAAAUCCUCACAAAUGCUCAGUUAUUUCAAUGCGGCAGCAGCAGCUCUGUCUCUCUGCUUUCAUUUUUAUUACACUUGGGUAAGUGGUUGCUUUGAAACUCACACACGUACAAAAUAUAUUAAAACAAU
rnacentral:lncRNA from 1 species